GCCUCCCAAAGUGCUGGGAUUACAGGCGUGAGACACCACGCCAGCCAUCCCACUAUUUAGUUUUAUUACCCAUGAAUUUGCUGUAUAACUACACCCCUGGCUUUAAGUCCUCAUCAAUUAAAAGUUUGAAUUUCCAUAAUGAAAAUUCAAAGCCCCUACAAGCAUUUGUUACGGGGGUUUGGGAAGAUAGGCACAGGAAAAGCAAAGCUAAGGCAGAAGAGCAACAAGGAAGAAAAUUAAGAAAGACACAGAGACAGAGUGUUGGUGACGUGGGAACCUAGUAGUUUACAUGGCCACAGUCUGUUUUUUAGCAUGGCAACCCUAUUUUGAACACUAAAAAUCUUAGAAAUAACUGAACACACAGCAAACUCAACAGCAGUUGCAGUUAGCUCUUUUUUUUUUUUUGAGACGGAGUCUAGCUCUAUUGCCCAGGCUGGAGUGCAGUGGCGCUAUCUCAGCUCACUGCAAGCGGUUAGCUCUUCUUUUAUUUAAAAUUUCAGAAAGUGCUCAUGAAGAGGGGUUUAAUGAAUUUAUUCACUUUCCAAAAUAGGGGAAAGGCCACAAUUUUACUCACUCUAUCAAAUAGAAAACAUUUCUUGAAAUAAAAAUUUACAUAAAUUAAAAUUAUUCAAUCAAGAAAACCCUUAUAAACCUAAGGUUUAAGAUUCGAUGUCUUGAGGUGAAUGGGACAUUAUAUAACUUUUCAGCCCACACUUAGAAACUAAGCCCAAUGAGAUACUAAAAUGACAGACCCAGUAAGGCAGGCUCAGCGCUGGCUCCUCAGGGCCCACAACGUUGACCUAGCUACAGGCUUCUCAAUCAAGGUUCUCCCAAACUGAAUCAAUGCACAUUUUGGUUGCCAGGAAGAAGGGAGGAGUAUGAGAGGGCUUUAAGGGUAACACAGUGAUUCAAAUGAAAGUGAGAUAAGAAAAGAUAAAUCAUAUUAUUUGAAGGCUUAAAACAAACUCAGAUUUUCCCAAAAAGUCAAGUACCAACUGAAUAAAAACCAUCCAGAGACAGGUAUGCAUCUUGAUGUUUAGAGAGAGCAGUCUUCAGAAUACUUUCAGUUUUCCUUAAGCCAUUCAUGUUAAUUGCAAACUAGCCUAGAUGCAGAGCAAUCAAACAAUCACCUGCUCAUUCAAUGCCAAAAAUCAAUGCCCUAAGAACAUUCAAGAACCUUCUGGAUCUAAGCACAGUAAGUAGAUUCUCCAAUGGCUAUGUUUUGCAGUCUGCAGGUUACAACCCAUUAGUGAGCAGUGAAGUCAAUUUGAUGGGUAAAGACAUAUUUUAAAUAAAAUAGAACAGAAUAUAAAAUAUCAGUAUGCUUUACACCUUGUAAGAAUUGUUUCAUGAACCUCUUGUUUCAAUUAUACAUGUGAAUGGCGUGUGUGUAUGUGUGUGUACUAGGCUGCAAUGUAAAAUGUGUUUCUUAUGGUGAAUUACAGUGAAUAAAGCUUGGAAAACUCUGUCCUAAGAUACCAGCCCAACCUACUUUAUAUCAUUCCUUGCUUCUCUUAUCCCCCUAUCACUCCUUGCACUUAGACCUACCCCAACACAUCCAUGGACAUCACCAAAGUAAACAUGAGAACAACCACCAUUGUCCCUGGUUGGUACACGAAAGUUUUGGCAGUGUUAGCCCCAUUAGCCAGAAUCAAAGCUCAGAAGCUACCUGGAAAAGAAACUGUAUGACUAGUGUAUUUGAAACACUACAACACUGCUUUCUAAAUAGAAAAUUCUACUCUUCCACACUGCAUGCUGUUUCUAAUCUUUUUGCAGACUAUUAUGGUUUAGAUGUAGUAUAAUAUACCAAGACCAGCAGUGCUCGGUGACAUGCUAUAUGACUGGAUAAAGCUCCCAGCUAGAAACUUAGGGAUCGGGGUUCUAGUCCUUCUCCAUUAGCUGGGUUUGAUCUUGGACAAGGUACUCGACCUCUCUGGGUUCAGAUUCUCCAACUGAAAUAUGACAAAGCAGGACUGCAGAAGGGUUCUUCCUAGUGAGUGUUCUGUGGAGAUACUUCACCAGUCUUGCAAAAGUGGGUCUUUUUUUUCUAAUUAAGAUGUUUAUUUUUAAAACUAAAAGAAAACAGUAAACACAAUCAAAUACAUUCAAUAUCAAAUUUUACCAUGCUGCAAUUACCAGGCAGCCAAAUAACCUCAUUUUUCAAAAAAUUUAAAGAAUUACCUUCAGUUUCUGUAUAUAUUCUAGUAAACAUCUCAUUGAUUGGAAGCCUGUAGCUCUGCAUGGGGAAUACGUCUAAAUGUGAGCCUGCUCUGUUCAGAUAUUUGUAUAAAAUGGAACACUGAUAGUCCUCACUCGGGUAAAUGCCAGGUGAAGCCUAGGUAGACAUGUACAGAACAUGCUCUCAUAUCAGGCACGGCAAACAAUUUCAAGUCACACUCUGAUAAUGGAUAAUGUCUUCAGGGCUUUGAGUACCUCCUUUCCGAUUUUUUUUUUUUUCAUAAUGAAUGCAUGCAGCUAAAAAUUUUCAAGAUCCAACUCUAAUUAAAAAUUUUCUAGUAUUCCUCUUUCAAGCAUAUGAAUUACUUCUUUUUUUUUUUUAAUGGAGUUC
rnacentral:lncRNA from 10 species